AUUGAACGCUGGCGGUAUGCUUAACACAUGCAAGUCGAACGAGUGGCGGACGGGUGAGUAAUGCAUAGGAAUCUACCUUUGAGUCUAGGAUAACUACCCGAAAGGGUGGCUAAUACUGGAUGCUAAGAGAUGAGCCUAUGUGGGAUUAGAGAGUUGGUGGGGUAAUGGCCUACCAAGGCGACGAUCUCUAGCUGGUUUGAGAGGAUGCGCAACCACACUGGUACUGAGGCACGGCCCAGACUCCUUCGGGAGGCAGCAGUGGGGAAUAGUGGACAAUGGGCGAAAGCCUGAUCCAGCAAUACCGCGUGUGUGAAGAAGCCCCUAGGGUUGUAAAGCACUUUUGUUAGGGAGAUGUUACCUAAAGAAUAAGCACCGGCUAACUCCGUGCCAGCCGCCGCGGUAAUUC
rnacentral:rRNA from 1 species